ensembl:lncRNA
UUUUAAUGAAACUGUUCUGUAGUCAUUAAGCAUUGAAAAGAGGCUGAAUUCAGGAUCUCUCGGGCCAUAGUGCUAUAUAUAGUGCUAUAGAAUCAAGAUAGUAUUACAGAUUUCAUCAGUAUCAUUCUGCAGUGAAUUGGCAAGAACUUUCCUGGUAGAGAGUCUUGUAGGGUUUGGGGUUCUUACUGAACCUGUUUUUAGAAAUGGUCAAGCAUGUUAUCUUUUCCUCUGCAAAGAUCUUGCUGGACUGGUGUUGGGCUCAGUGAAAGACACUUGCUUUUGAGGAACCUAAAGCUGGGAGUCCAGGGCAGUCAGAACCUCAGUGGCUUUGUUUGAAAGACCACUGCUGCUGCUGCUGCUGCUAAGUCUCUUCAGUCGUGUCUGACUCUGUGCGACCCCAUAGACGGCCUCCUACCAGGCUCCUCUGUCCCUGGGAUUCUCCAGGCAAGAACACUGGAGUGGGGCUUAUUUUUCUAAAGUAGUCUUGAAACUGGCUCUCUUUGGUCUGGCCUCUUGUGUUCCCUCAUCCAAUAUCAUUUGACUAUUUCAAUGCACUAAUAGGUGGCAAAGAGAUCCCAAGCUGAUCGAUGUUUUUUUUUUUUUUUAAUGAUUUUAGGCUUUACUGCCAGGAUCAUCCCAAUUUACACCAUUGCCAUGAAGUGCUUGUUUGUCUGUGGUGAUGUGUGCACUAAAUAAUGCAGGGAAAUCUGGCAGGUGGUAGGUAGAGAGAGGCACUGGCUACCUUUCCUGUUGGCUCUUUGUUCAUGCUGUUGACUUUCAGGUAGACUGUCAUCUUCACCCUUCUUCUCUCACCUAAGCAUGUGAAAAGGAAGUUGAGACUUCUGAUCUGCCUGUUAUCCUGUAUCCAUGGUGGUUACAAGCACUUACCUUAGAGCCAGACUGCCUGAGUUCCUACCCCAACUCCACUGCUGCUGUGUGACACAGGGACUGCGCCUGCUCACCUUUGAAAUAGCUGAGAGUGGCCCUGAUGUUGGCUUCCGGCAAGAGGCAUGGACCUCCUUCCCUCUGAGGUCUGGCCACCUCCAGUAGACCUGUCUCCCCAUUUGCUUCUAACUAGGAUGUUGCAGUUAAUGCUGGUGUGAAAAUGAUUAGCCUGAGAAAGCCCAGCAGGAUCAUCUCUACAAGGAGGUAUCAUUGUUCCUGUUUUACAAAUGAGAAACUACGUACAGACAUUUGUCCACAUUCACUCGGCUAGUUGACAGGGUUUGGAACUCCGAUCUGUACGGCCCCCAAGCUAUGCUGCAAGUGCCGCACACAGGUCUCACCCCUGCCCCGUGGAGUUGGCCAUACUGCAGCAAUAAAGACCGUGGAGCUGACAGCUCUGCAGCUGCUUCAGAGAGAGAUGUAGAGAUUUAUGCACAAAGAUGUGUGCCUAAGAUAUGUUAUAGCAAAAGGCCAAAUAUUCUUGUAAAAGUGGCAGAGAUGACUGAAGAGCUUUAUUAAGCAUGUAUUAAGUAUGUGCAGUGGAGCAUUACCAUCUGCUAAAUCUGGGUGGUUUUAUUGACCUCUCUAUUUUGCUGUAUGUUUGAAAUAUUUCAUUAUUAAUCAUUCUUAGGCAAAAGGAAAUGGAAGAAAGCAGAUAAGUUCUGCAUUGUGAGUUGUUCAGGUAGUUUUUGCAUAAACUGGAGGGUGAUAAUUGCUGAUAUGACCUCAAAAGAGAUAAGGGAGCGAAAGGAAGGUUUGCUAAUUAGCUACUAAGAAGAGAGAAAUGUGAGAAAUAAUUAAAUCACCUGGUUCGGUGUGCUCCUCUAACGCAUCCUCCCUGACUGUCUCUUCCAACUUAAUGACUCAGAGCAAUCAGCCAACGAUACACUCCGGGAGAAGAGAGAUCUUGUUAAACUUUGAGUUUGAUGCCAGUGAUGCAUGCAUUGUUUUCACAAAUUAUAUUAGUGCUCAUGCACUGGAAUUGCUGUACUUUAGACACUCAAAAUUAUGGACCAACUAUCUCUAGUGGUUGCCUGGUUUUGGAGUGAACCUCAAAGGCGAGCCUUGGCUAGGAAAGAUUUUUCCAUAUUCCAGCAGCUUUUGUUCAAAGCAUAUUUUGUUUAUACUUCCUUCCAAGUUCAAUGUGACACGGAUGGUUGUGCUUUGAUUUUUUUUUUCUUUUUUGGGGUUCAUGGAAAUCAUAACUGAAGUUUAAUUUUUUAAUCUUGCCCUUCAGAGCAGCUGACACAUCUCAGCCAAUGUUUGUUGUAUGUGCAAAAUAUACGGAAGGGAGGAGUCAAUUAAAGCCAAAAGGAGUAACAGAAAGGAAAUACUUGAGAACAGAAACCAAUAAAAUAGUAGGGAAAAUGAAUAAAAUAAAUUGGUUUUUUAAAAGAUUAAUAACAUUUUUAAUCCCCUAGCAAAAUUUAUCAAGGGAAAAAACCCCACACAAAUUACCAAUGUUAGGGACAAUAUUAUAUAUACACACACACACACACACAUAAGGAAGGAGUAGCUAUUUCAAUGGCUAUAGGACAUUAAUGUGGAUGUCUUGUUAGAGCCGUUGAUUUGAUUUUAAGAAAGCUCAUCAUUGUCGUUUAUUCUUUAAGUUGUGUCCGACUCUUGUAACCCCAUGGACCGUGGCCUGCUAGGCUCCUCUGUCCAUGGGAUUCUCCAGGCAAGAAUACUGGAACGGUUACCAUUUCCUUCUCCAUUUAAGAAAGCUACUUAUAUAAAUAAGCUAUGACAGAGGGAGUUCAUCCACGUUUUAAUGAGACAGCUUAACUCUCCUGCUAAAUUAAUACAUCUACUUUGAGACUUUAAUCUCCAGGAGAAGUGGCAACAGAAAGGGCAGUUGAAGAAACACUCCUUGUACACAUUCACAAUGUUUAUUUUUAUAAAAUCAACACUGUAAUAUAAUUCCACUUUUAUCUAAAACAAAAUGUAUAAAUGCAAUUAACACUAGAAGAAUAUACAAACCAGAAUAUUCAUAAUGACUAAUUUUCUCUUUUAGAUAAUAUUUUAAAUUAUUGGAUUUUACUUUUCCAUGUUUUCUCACUUCUCUGUGUCAAGCCUAUACAACCAGUUUAGAAUGAGAAGUGAAAGUUGCUCAGUUAUGUCUGACUCUGUGACUCCAUGGACUAUAGCCUGCCAGGCUCCUCUGGGAUCUUCCCAACCCACACAUCAAAACCAGGUCUUCCGCAUUGCAGGCAGAUUCUUUACCAGCUGAGCCACAAGGGAAGCCCUUGUUUUGUUUUCUUUGGCUACAGACAUGUGGGAUCUUUGCUCCUCAACCAGGGAUCGGACCCACACCCCUUAUGUUAGGAGGUGAAAUCUUAAUCCCUAGACUGCCAGGAGAAGAAAAUACAAUAAAUGUUUCAGGAUCAAGAGAAAAAAAAUGAAUAUACACCAAUGUUUAAGGG